UGCGUACCUUUUGUAUAAUGGGUCAGCGACUUAUAUUCUGUAGCAAGGUUAACCGAAUAGGGGAGCCGAAGGGAAACCGAGUCUUAACUGGGCGUUAAGUUGCAGGGUAUAGACCCGAAACCCGGUGAUCUAGCCAUGGGCAGGUUGAAGGUUGGGUAACACUAACUGGAGGACCGAACCGACUAAUGUUGAAAAAUUAGCGGAUGACUUGUGGCUGGGGGUGAAAGGCCAAUCAAACCGGGAGAUAGCUGGUUCUCCCCGAAAGCUAUUUAGGUAGCGCCUCGUGAAUUCAUCUCCGGGGGUAGAGCACUGUUUCGGCAAGGGGGUCAUCCCGACUUACCAACCCGAUGCAAACUGCGAAUACCGGAGAAUGUUAUCACGGGAGACACACGGCGGGUGCUAACGUCCGUCGUGAAGAGGGAAACAACCCAGACCGCCAGCUAAGGUCCCAAAGUCAUGGUUAAGUGGGAAACGAUGUGGGAAGGCCCAGACAGCCAGGAUGUUGGCUUAGAAGCAGCCAUCAUUUAAAGAAAGCGUAAUAGCUCACUGGUCGAGUCGGCCUGCGCGGAAGAUGUAACGGGGCUAAACCAUGCACCGAAGCUGCGGCAGCGACGCUGAUGCGUUGUUGGGUAGGGGAGCGUUCUGUAAGCCUGCGAAGGUGUGCUGUGAGGCAUGCUGGAGGUAUCAGAAGUGCGAAUGCUGACAUAAGUAACGAUAAAGCGGGUGAAAAGCCCGCUCGCCGGAAGACCAAGGGUUCCUGUCCAACGUUAAUCGGGGCAGGGUGAGUCGACCCCUAAGGCGAGGCCGAAAGGCGUAGUCGAUGGGAAACAGGUUAAUAUUCCUGUACUUGGUGUUACUGCGAAGGGGGGACGGAGAAGGCUAUGUUGGCCGGGCGACGGUUGUCCCGGUUUAAGCGUGUAGGCUGGUUUUCCAGGCAAAUCCGGAAAAUCAAGGCUGAGGCGUGAUGACGAGGCACUGCGGUGCUGAAGCAACAAAUGCCCUGCUUCCAGGAAAAGCCUCUAAGCAUCAGGUAACAUCAAAUCGUACCCCAAACCGACACAGGUGGUCAGGUAGAGAAUACCAAGGCGCUUGAGAGAACUCGGGUGAAGGAACUAGGCAAAAUGGUGCCGUAACUUCGGGAGAAGGCACGCUGAUAUGUAGGUGAAGUCCCUCGCGGAUGGAGCUGAAAUCAGUCGAAGAUACCAGCUGGCUGCAACUGUUUAUUAAAAACACAGCACUGUGCAAACACGAAAGUGGACGUAUACGGUGUGACGCCUGCCCGGUGCCGGAAGGUUAAUUGAUGGGGUUAGCGCAAGCGAAGCUCUUGAUCGAAGCCCCGGUAAACGGCGGCCGUAACUAUAACGGUCCUAAGGUAGCGAAAUUCCUUGUCGGGUAAGUUCCGACCUGCACGAAUGGCGUAAUGAUGGCCAGGCUGUCUCCACCCGAGACUCAGUGAAAUUGAACUCGCUGUGAAGAUGCAGUGUACCCGCGGCAAGACGGAAAGACCCCGUGAACCUUUACUAUAGCUUGACACUGAACAUUGAGCCUUGAUGUGUAGGAUAGGUGGGAGGCUUUGAAGUGUGGACGCCAGUCUGCAUGGAGCCGACCUUGAAAUACCACCCUUUAAUGUUUGAUGUUCUAACGUUGACCCGUAAUCCGGGUUGCGGACAGUGUCUGGUGGGUAGUUUGACUGGGGCGGUCUCCUCCUAAAGAGUAACGGAGGAGCACGAAGGUUGGCUAAUCCUGGUCGGACAUCAGGAGGUUAGUGCAAUGGCAUAAGCCAGCUUGACUGCGAGCGUGACGGCGCGAGCAGGUGCGAAAGCAGGUCAUAGUGAUCCGGUGGUUCUGAAUGGAAGGGCCAUCGCUCAACGGAUAAAAGGUACUCCGGGGAUAACAGGCUGAUACCGCCCAAGAGUUCAUAUCGACGGCGGUGUUUGGCACCUCGAUGUCGGCUCAUCACAUCCUGGGGCUGAAGUAGGUCCCAAGGGUAUGGCUGUUCGCCAUUUAAAGUGGUACGCGAGCUGGGUUUAGAACGUCGUGAGACAGUUCGGUCCCUAUCUGCCGUGGGCGCUGGAGAACUGAGGGGGGCUGCUCCUAGUACGAGAGGACCGGAGUGGACGCAUCACUGGUGUUCGGGUUGUCAUGCCAAUGGCACUGCCCGGUAGCUAAAUGCGGAAGAGAUAAGUGCUGAAAGCAUCUAAGCACGAAACUUGCCCCGAGAUGAGUUCUCCCUGACUCCUUGAGAGUCCUGAAGGAACGUUGAAGACGACGACGUUGAUAGGCCGGGUGUGUAAGCGCAGCGAUGCGUUGAGCUAACCGGUACUAAUGAACCGUGAGG
rnacentral:rRNA from 1 species